UUCUCACUAGCACAGUGGUAGUUGCGUCGAGCUGUUAUUCAGAGCUUCCCAUCUUGGGGUCAAAGCGAUGUCUUGGUAGUGACUCGAAGGUCGUUGGUUCGACUCCAACGUGGGAAG